rnacentral:lncRNA from 1 species
GUGUAUAUCAACUAUAAACUCUUUGCCACUUGCAAUAGAGAUGGUUAGUAAGAGGUGACGUGGCUGAUGAUAUAUUAAUUGAAUCUAGUCAAUAAUAAACUUUAAAGACUUGCUUUAAUAUAUCUGAUCAGUCAGCGAACUUUGGAAAACGAGUCAAACCAAAGGUGGUGCAUUAGAGAUAAAAGAGCUACGAACAAUCAUCAUCACUUUGUAGGUUAUUUGGUUAGAGCUAUUAGCUUAAAUGAGCCAGCAUCCUGUAUUGUAACUGGAGGUCAUGUGGAGCCGAGUUAUAUUCGAAAUGGCGUGAGGCUAGGUAGGCCGAGUCAUGUUCAAAGUAGCAUGAGGCUGGUUGGGUAGAGUCACAAUCGAAACUCGUGGGCAUUGUAUCUAUGUGCUUUAAGUGAAUUGAUUAUAUAUUUAUAACAGUUCGAACUUUUGAGAUUAAUGGUUAGCGUCAACGAUCCGACAAGAGCAGAAUAGAAAAAUUUUGGAGAAACAAAAGCGCAGCAUGUGACAAAUGCUAGCAAAAUUUCAUUCACGCAAGAUUGCUUGGAACACUUCCGAAUCACAGCAGAAGACUUUUUUUUUUGUUGGUUUGGGAGGUCCGACUGCCUCACCUUGUAGCUCAAUUCACCUUCCAAUUAAAUGAAACAUAAGCAUAUAAUAUAUAUAUAUAUAUAUAUAUAUAUAUAUAUAUAUAUAUAUAUAUAUAUAUAUAUAUAUAUAUAAAAAGCCUGGUGCUCACGACAUAGGUGUUAAUCGAUUAAUGGGUAAACAUCAAAUAUAUAUAUCCCUGUGGUUUCUCACUUUCUCACUUUACUACCCAAUAGUUUAAAAUGUAUCAAUUUAGUACUCUAUGAUUUUUUUUCUCUUUUCGUCAACUCCUUAGUUAACAUUUCGUUAAAUCAUAUACAAAAAAUUCAAAUAACUCACCGAGGUUUAUCAAAUAUUCACUUUAGUACCCUUUAGUUUUAACUUUGUCAUUGAUUCAAUAAAAAAAUUUAAUAGAGGAGAUAAUAAAAAAAAUAAAAUAAAAUUACAAAGUACUAUAUUGUUAUACUUUAAAUCACAAAAUAUUAAAGUGAGAAAGUACGAAACCACGGAAGUGGUACCACAUAAGUGGUAUUUGAAAUUAAUCCUUGGUUAAUUGAUGCUUCACUACAACACAAGAGCUUGGAGGCCCAAGCUCAUAUAAUGCAAGAGAGUGGUUGUGGGCUUGUCUCCCCACCCACUUCCAUUACUAUUUAUGUUACUUUUGCUGCUGUUUCUUUUUUAAUUCCUUUUUUUUUUGGUUUAGUCCAGUCCGCAUGCACAGCUAACUUUCAUUUCAGCAACCACUUAUUAAGCACUCAUUUAAAUAAAGAAAGGAAAUUAAAAAAAAAGGGUUAUAUAGGACGCCUUUUGUUAGGAAACCUUUUCAAAAACCUGCAUAUAAUAUAUUAUUAUUAUUAUAUUAUUAUUAUAAUUAUGCAUGAUUCCACAUGGGACACCUAACUUAUGUUUCAGGGCUUUCCACACAGCCUGUGUGGGACACAGUUGCUAUUGCCAAAUCAGUUUGAUAGAAAUCGAAACAACUUACUAUUUAGAGUAGUUUGGUUUAAGAUUUAUAAUAUUUGAUUUUAUAUUAGAAACGACGAGUAUGUUACUAUCUUACCAAUUCACUUGGGUAAGAGAUUGUUAAAAACUAAUAUUUUUAUUAAUGUAGUACUAUAAUUAUCAUAAUGAGAAUAUUUCUUAGCCCAUGAUAAUCUAAAAUUUCUGCCAUCUAACAGUCUAGAACGAUUCCACUACUUCACUAACGGCCUUUCAUAAGUAUCCAAUUUAAGCUAACGAUAAAUUUAAAUAUUUUCAAUAGACAAUAUGAAUAGUUAUCGAAAUAUUAUGAACUACGAGGCAAACAGACCCUCAACAUUAAUAUACCUCGUCACAUGCACGAAACAUAGAUGAUCAUACAUAUCAAUUAUGAUACAAAAUAUGAUAGAACAACUAAACGAAAAAAAAAAAAGAAAAAAAAAAAGAAACUUUAACCUAUUAAAUGAUAGAUGGCAAAAAUCAAACAUGUACAUGGUCUCUUACAAUUGGGGGUUCAAAAUCCGUAUUAUUGUUUGCUAUUUAUUAUUGUCUAAAAUAGGCCUAAUUUUUUGUCGUGUAACAAUUGAUUCACGAGACUACUAAGUUGAUUUCGAGAAGCCCAACAAGCGGAGCUGCAAUUCACAAUAGGCUUAGCGGCAAGGGGCCGAACAAUAAACCUAAUGUCUAGAGAAAUUGACUCAAAUCGAAGCAUAUGAGCAUUAUGGUUAAGCUCUUAAGUGCGGUGGGCAUGCGUCUUUUCUAUCAGCAUGUGUUUUUGGAUAGUUGAUUAGCAUUUACGAUCCACAAGUAAUAUCAGAGCUAGUAGCGUGAGUUCGAUUUUUACAUAUUGUAUUAACAAUACGAGAGUAGGGAGAAUUUUUGUAAUUACUGUGACUAAGCUCUUAUGCACGAUAGAUAUAUGUGCCCUUUAUAUCCAUACGUACUUUUGGGAUAGUUAGUUAGUGCAUCCACAAUUACUAUCAUCUCCACUACCAACCUGACCUAAAUCCAAUGAGAAUCUCUAGAUUUUGAUCCUAAAUCUCGAACCAAUAGCUUAAUCUGUAAAAUUCAAAUCCAAAUCUUGCCAAUUGACACUAGAGAAGUUAGUCAGCCUUGUUAGACUCAUUAAAUAAUUUAAAACAAUCACUUAUCUUCAAAUGCUUUAUAUCAUAUUAUUUAAGAUGAUUUUAGAGUAGAAGAUUCUGCUCCCUAGCGCAAGUGGUAAAGAGUCUUGGUGUUUGGUACCCGAGGUCUCAACUUCGAAUCCUAGUUGAUUCACAUUUUUAGUAAGUUUAUUUCUAAAAAAAUAAACGAAUGCCAUUAUUAUUAAUUUUUCCUAUUUAAUCUACAUUCACAUUUUAGACCGAUCAAAAUAUCUCAAAUUCAGAUGUAAGAAGAGUGUUGAAUAUAUAAUAUUAAAUUAAAGACCGUUCUUCAAUAGUUUAAGCAUUUAAAGAAUAUAAAUACAUACAUAUAUUAAGAAGAGUGUUGAAUAUAUAAUAUUAAAUCAAAGAACCGUUCUUCAAUAGUUUAAGCUUUUAAAGAAUAUAUAUACAUACAUAUACGAACUUGGAGUUGUUCUCCUCUCUCCCAUUCUAACUAUGAGAAAUUAUUGCAUGCACCAUUUUUAUAAAUAUAUUAUAUGAACUGAUUUAUUUUUUUAAUAACAAAUAUAGUAUAAUUAAGGCAUGAAUUAAUGGUAGCUAGCCACAUCUCCAAUAAAAAUUUUUGAUGCACCCAUUGCAUCAUAAACCAACUCUAAAAUAUGUAUCAAAUAUGAAUUUCUAUAUUACAAUAAAUUAUUUAAGUAUUUUAUAUUACAUAUAUUAUAUUAUAUUAUAGUUUAUAUUAUUAAUUAUUAAAUAUUUUAUUAAUCAUCUAAUAUUAUGAACGAUUUUUGCAGCAUUAGUAUUCACCAGACGCAAGCAAAGAUUCUUCAUCUCUGUUAGAAUUAUGUGUGUACCGUAUUAAAUAUUCUCUGCAUCAGGUGUAUAUGUGUACAUACAUCGCAUGCUUAAAACCUUUCAAUAGAGAUUUUAAAGGUAAUUCAUCAAACAUUAGACUUUGUAGAUCAGAUAUACUUAAUUAAAUUUUGAUGUCAAAAUAUUAGUCAUCUAAUAAAAGUUGGCAGCGCAUGGAAUAUUGAUAUACACCAAACGCAUGUAAUCGUUUCUUCUUUCUCCAAUCAAUUUUAAUAAAGUAAAGACACCCUCACAUGUUCUUCAAUUUGAAAUAAGUUCUCCAACUAUAACUUUUUAAUUAAAAAAUUUAUUUACAGAUUAUCUAUCAAAACUAUUAAGUUUGAUUAAAUAUUAAUAAUAAAGAUUAUUCUUAAAAAUGUACAUAAGACUACAUAAUAGAUUUUUUUAUAUUUCUUAAGUUACAAUAUUUUCAAUCUUAAAAUUUAAAUAAUUAUUUAUUUUAAUUAAUUGAAAUAUUAUCUAUCCACCACGAAGUGUUGCUCUAUAUACUAGUAACAAUUAUUAUUAUUUUACAUUAUUACGAGACAAGGCAAAUCUUUUAACAAAGCUACUCAUUGUGAUUGGAAGAAGCCAUAGGGUAACACUCGAGAGUUAAUUCAUGGAUUUCCACGUGAUCUCAUGUGGCUUAUAAUUAAUUAAAACACAUGUCUAUAUAUGAUAAUGAGUGGGGGGCAUGCACUGAAUUUGUAAAAUAAAUACAUGUUGAUCUCCUCCUCUUUUUUUUUUUUUUGGUUGAUUGAUCCAAUGACAAAUAUAUAUAUUUUUUUUUUCAUUCGUAUAACUCAAGAAAAAGUCCAUAACUUUAUAGGAUUUAUUAACUCAAGCCUAGCUAUCAACAAUAAAUUAGAUGCAAUGAGAUUAUUGGUUAUUUUAUGAUGUAGAUUUUCCAUCGUACAUUUGAUCUGAAGUUAUGAGAAGAGUAUAAUACAAGCUAGCUACCAAUCACCUACUAGCUAGAAUUUAUACAUUUCUGAGUUGUUUAUUUUCUUUUGGAUUCUCCAGGGUUUUGGGAUGGAGAUUAGAUAUUGCCAAAAUAAUAUUUGCCAUUAUCAAAGUGUAUAAUUUGUAUCUAAUUAUAUUUUUAACUUUUUUGCUCUGAUAAUAGUAGAUAUUACGCUGGCAAUAUCAGUUCUUUUUUUGAAUGCCGCUAUUAAUAUGAAACAAUUAUUGUUCUCCAAAUGUUUGAGCUGUUUAUAUAACAAUAUUUUCCAAUGAAAUAAUUUUGUUCAUUAACAGCUUAAGCUGUUAUAAAAUAAUAUUUUUUGAUUAAUUUAUAUUCAGCACUUCCAAUUACGUCCGAACUAGACACAUUUUUAUAGUUCUAAGGUAUAGACUUGAAUUAAAUGCCAGAAAAUUAAUAAUACUAUGAGUCUUGCAAGACUCAAAUUUAAAACUGCCGCUCUAAAUAUCAUAUUAAAUUAUAUAAAAUAAUUAUUGUUCUCGAAAAACUAGAAUAUUGUUUUUAAUUUAUAUAUUCAAUGGUCACAACUCUAGAUUAUCCAAGUUCAUAUUACAAAAUUGCGUGCGAAUAAACACAGCAAAAAAGAAAAUCAAACAAAGAUAAUUUUAAAAAAUUUGAGAUCUAAUCUCAAAAUACCAUGCAAACAUGAUCCCUCAUAUUGUUUAAUAUUAAAAGAAGAAAAGGAAGAUCUAAUCUUCACCUUUACGCGAGUAGAUCUUCACCGCAAUCUAAUGAUUGUGGAAUUGGAUCUCUUGAAACCACACAAGCGUCUGUCUCUACAGGUAUUCACAUGAGAUUACUGAUCUGAUCGAUAUCCUCAUCGGGGUGCUAGCUCUUUUGCAAAGAACGUCUUUUUUUCUAGAGGAUUAAAGAAAAAAAGAGAUACGAGAAAAGAGAUGACGGUUAGGAUUUUCUAAAAACUCCUUUAUCUUAUAAAGAGGGAUAUAACUUCUUUUAUAAUAAUAUAAUUACUAUUAAGGAUAAGAAUUUAUUUUUAUCCUUUUCUUAAUUAGUUUAAUUAAUUAAAUACUAAUUUAAAUCAACUUGAACUCAAUCCUAAUUUGAUCAAAUCAAAUUAAUAAUACAAUAUUUGCACAUAAGUNUUUCUAAAAACUCCUUUAUCUUAUAAAGAGGGAUAUAACUUCUUUUAUAAUAAUAUAAUUACUAUUAAGGAUAAGAAUUUAUUUUUAUCCUUUUCUUAAUUAGUUUAAUUAAUUAAAUACUAAUUUAAAUCAACUUGAACUCAAUCCUAAUUUGAUCAAAUCAAAUUAAUAAUACAAUAUUUGCACAUAAGUUCUCUCACAACUUACUAACUGUUAGUAAGUUCUCUCUUGCAAUAUUUGCACUUUAAUAUCAUUAAUUUGUAACAAUUAUAUAUUAAUCCAGCUAUCAACAUAUUGAUAAUUAUGUCCUCCGACGACUCAAAAAUCGCGAUCCAACUAUUUGAUAAGUCGCAGUCUCUUAUGUGAGUGACCCAUAGGUUCUAUUCUAUCUAGUUUUGAUCACCAUCACUAAUAUCAUUAAAACUCUUUUUAGUGGGUCGGAACAAUUCCAACUCAGCCCAUGAGAAUUAUCGAUCAUGCAGAUAAUUUUCAUAAGUCUCACAAUGUCAUGCCUCGUGACCCGGCAAUUUGGUCGGAUCCGGGCACGUCAAUCAGACGCCAAACGGAGAGCACCUCCUCUAUUCGCCCAAGGCUAAACAACAGCAAUCAUGUACAAGAGUUGCCCAGAAAAACUCAUUAAACAUACAUGAUCAGUACGAAGCACCACAAAUGCUAACAAGUAAGGACAAGAACCACAAGUACACAUACAAGUGAAUAAAGAGAGAUAAUUCUAGCUAUUACAAGCAUUCAACCGUUAAUCCACACUGAUUACAUUUACAUCUCCCAAAAUGUAAUACAAGUUCAUCUCCAAAAUACAUAAGUAACUCUCCGACAUCUCACCAAAAUAUACAUCAUCAUCUAUGUACACGAGGGUACUCUAAAUGCAAGUAGGGAAAGCUACUAACUAAAUUAGGGCGCUAUGCCCUUACUUGUUAGCACUUGUGGUGCUUCGUACUGAUCAUGUAUAUUUAAUAAGUUUUCCUGGGCAACUCUUGUACAUGAUUGCUGUUGUUUAGCCUUGGGCGGACAGGGAAAGUGCUGUCCGUUCGGCAUCUGAUCGACGUACCCAAAUCCGACCAAAUUGGCAGGUCGCAGGGCGUGACACACAAUCCACCAAUGAUGCCUAACAGUAUGUAGUGGGAUUAUAAUAGAAUGGAAUACUGAAUCUCUUUGUGUAGUUAUCGUGUGAUACAAUUUUGUUAUCAUGAGUCCCGACUAGACGGAGGUCUAUGGAAUAGCUUGUCAAACCCCAUCGUCUGUCAUAUGUCAAAUUUAUUCAACUCGAAUUUUUAAUAUCGGCAAAUUUUUUCGCUAUUAACUCUGCCCUAACCAAGAUUUUCUAAAGUCGGUCUUAUAAAUUAGAUAGAGCUAAUGUUCAUAUCUACCAAGGGAGAUAAAUUUCAUAAAGUGCACACCUCAUUCGUACAAUGAACUUAUUGCAGCCAAUAUGUACCACAAGAACCCGAAUGAUUAGAGACUAAAUAUAUGUACAGUCAAACUAUAAUAACCUCAUUGUAAAUAGCUGAGGUACCGUAAGUCAAAAGAUCAGUCACACUACUGUAAUAUUAAGUCACUGACGAGUGAGUAGACAUUCAAGUGACUUCUCGCUUUGGUCACGCUCAGUAUUCUUGUUCUCUAACAAUCAUCUGCAUAUUCGCUCUAGUGUCCCGACACUGUUGACUCGAGACUCGUCUAUCUAAAAAGGAAAAUGACUUAUGCACCAAUCUCACCGGAUCAAUUACCGUCCUCGUGAUAAUUCAUCGAUCGGGAAUAUUUAGAAAUUAACUAUCAAUAACACAUAUCUCAAAUUCUCAACUCUUUAGAAUACGUGUCAUCAUCUUAUUAAUUUCUUGAACGAUUCAUGAACACAUACACAACAUAAAUAAAAAUAAGAAUCCAAAUUUAUUUAUAAUAUUUUAAAUCAAAUAUAAAUUUAUCUCUUAAAAAGAAUAAAUAUAUAGGCCUAGUUGGCUUUUAGGGCAUGUAUCUAACAGUUAAAGCAUUUAUUCUUUGUUAGAGGGGGCUUAGAAAUUCAACCUAAGAUUUAAGAGGUAGGAGUGCAUUUAUUGUUUUGGUUAGGAGUAGAUCGAAAUAUAAAUAUAUAUAUUAUUGCUUUGAUAUUUGACACAGUAAUAUGGAUGAUAUUCAAAUAUAUUAACUCCUUCAAUGAGCAUCAUAUGGAGAAUAUUAAAAUAAAUUAAUUCAUUACAGGGAUGUCAGCUGAAUCAACAUCUCCAAGAUGUAUUAAAAGUAGGAUUUUACGGUGAUCUAACAACAAUUUCUGAUUUCGUAGCAUUUUACGGUGAGUUAUAAUUUAAUUCUACUGUAAAAUUACUUAGAUUGUUUAAAUCACAACAGAAUUUUGUGCUUUAUUUCUAGGCUAAAAUACAUAAAACUUUCUUGUCAAAAACCGAUUUUUUACUUUCCCCCUCUGUCAUUUAAAAACUUACACUUCACCUCCUUGUAAAAUAAAAAACAUUCACUUCACCCCCUACUAUUACUAAUCCGUUAGGCUUCUGUUUAUAAAAUAUUAUUAUAUAUUUUUUUAUGCCAAAAAUGCCCUCAGUCUUUUUUUCUGUGAAUAUGAUGAGGGGCAAAAUGGUGAGGGACAAAAUAGUCAUUUUAUCAUCACAAUUCACACCGUACCUCCUGUGAACAUUUUUCGUUUUAUAAGGGGCAAAGUGUAGAUUUUUAAAUGAUAGGAGGUAAAAUAAAAAAUCUGAUUUUGACAGAAAAAUUUUCUGUAAUUUAGCCUUAUUUCUAUCAAAAAGAUACUUGAAUAUUAAUACACAUCCAAAUUUCAUUAUCUGUCCUAUAUUGAAUUUUGUUUUCCUUUUUUGUUUUGUGGAAAAUGUUUAUAGAAAAUAUUUGGUUAUGCGAAUCCAAACUCAUUCCACGACAAUAUUAGUACAUGCUAGUACCUACUUCAAAUAGAUGCUGCUUGUAGCACUAUAUAUAUCCAUAUCUAUCGAAGCAUUUGGUAUAACAGAAUGUCUUUUUGAGCUUCUAUUGUAAUUAGAAUCUAAAAUAAAAUUCUAAACUUCAAAAGCAGUAAUUCUAAUCCCUAAUACUUUUAAUUCUACUUGCGAGAAAACUCUUUUUUGGCAAAAAAAAAAAAAAAAAAAAAAAAAAAAAAACACUAUAGUAUAGUCCUUCUAAUAGCAUUACCAUUCAAAAAGUUCUUCAUCGCGAAACACUAAACUCUACGGCAUGGCUAUAUAUACAAGCAUUUGGAAUAUUUCUAUUCAUUAGUCCAUAGAUGACCUGGAACACUAAAUUCAUCGAAUACUUCUAAUAACUAGCAGAAUGUUUACCGAUCCUUGUGGAGCAAAUGGUAAAGGACUUAGUAGUUGGUACCCGAAAUCUCAAGUUUGAAUCAUAGUUGAUUCACAUUAAUUUUCAGCUAAGUUUAUUUCUAAAUGAAAUAAAUAAAGCGGAUAGCGUGCUAUCUAUAUCUCUCAAUAAAAAUAAAAUAAAAAAAAAAAGCUAAAUGUUUAGUCCCUGAGUGUUACUCACUGUUGUUAUCCAACACCACCCACACACCCUCAUCAUCCCCAGGGAUCUAAUGAUAUCUAGCACGCUUAUCCAAGUACAAGAGCUACAGCAUGCCCUGCACUCAUUUGUGCGCAAGCAAAAGCUGUACCAAUUCUUCUUUCUUUGGGUAAACUGCAUGAGUAGUCCCUCUACCAUCACUAUGAUGCACCUUGGUCUUUAUCCUUUUCAGUUGAAUACUUCUGUGUUCUUUAAACUUUCGUGUAGAUCAUUUGAUCGUGCUUAAGAAUGUGUUUACGAACAAGUUAUCAUGUAGUUGCUUAAUAUGCUAUAGACUUUCAAGCCGUUUUUUUCUCGUAAUAAGGUAAAUCAAUUCACAAGUGAAAUACAUUUUUCGUGAAAUAUGUUAUUGAAAAAAAUCAUCAAUGUUGGAAUCUUACAACGAGUUAAGAGGAAAAUUAGUAGCUACAAUGAUAUUAAAAAAAAAAUCAUAAUGCCUAAGUUGUCACCAAAUAACUUGUUCGAGCAUCAAAUCAGGCCCUAUGAAAAAUUUCUUUAUGUCACCAACGACUUUGCAUUUAAACCAUCGGCUUUAAGAUAUUGACAAUUACCAUUUGUAAGCAAAUUACAUUGCACCUCUGAAAUAAUUUAACUUUUACAAGGAAAAUCACUUACUAUGUGAUUGUAGACAUAUAUUUCAUACAAUUCUCAACUUGUCCCUAGCGUAAAUGGCAAAGGACUUGAUGGUUGGUAUCCGAGAUCCCAAGUUCGAAUCCUGGUUGAUUCACAUUUCCGGCUAAGUUUAUUUUUGAAUGAAAUAAGCGAAGCGGGUAGCAUGAUGCCUAUCUCUCAAAAAAAAAAAAAAAAAAAAAAAAAAAAAAAAAGUCCUUCCCAACUUUAAUAAGUCCAUGAACUAAGUCACAAACAUUCCAGUCUUCAAUUUCUCUCCUUUCUUUUUGAAGGCUGACCACCUUUACUCCUCUAGCCUUUCAAAGAAGACUCAGCACUGUUCAACUGCAGAGACAGAUAUAAUAAAGUCUCUCCAUUAUCACCUCUGUAUACCUCCUCUUUAUCUUCUCUCUCCCUCAUCCUCUUGGCCCACACAAAGAUUCCUUAUGCUCCUUCUCCACCAUGUAGCCUUUUCCUCUCUCUCUCUCUCUCUCUCUCUCUCUCUCUCUCUAGGUACCAGCUUUAGUUGGAUAUAUCAUAUAUAGGAGUAGGACCACCACCACCCUCUCUAGCCCACUUCUCCCUGUUCACCUUUUUCAUUCAGAUGGCUACCACUCUUCUAAUUUAGUUGCUGUGGCUCCUCUCUUUCUCUCUCUCUCUCUCUCCUAACAUGUAAUAAAGGUAUAUAUGCUCUUCUGGGUCACCAUCUUUUAAGCUUUAAUACCAUCCUCAGAUGCCAUGUGCUCUGAUGAAUCUUCUUUUGCUGAGCCUUGUCCUCUAACUGUAGGCUUUCAUUUUCAUUUUUUUUUUCUUUACCAAUAUUUUCAUUUUUUAUAAAAAAAUAAAAUUAAAUUAAAAAUAGCUGUUAAUUUGAUGCUUUAUUGCUUUUAUAUGCUCAAAUGGGUAACUCCGAUAUGCAAUGCCAUGCGUUUUAAUAUACUCUAUAAAUACUUGAUAUUCAGCUGUAAUUCUUUAUGGUCGAGCCUCUCCAAUGGCGCAGCAGUCCUGCUUCUUCCCCCUGCGGUGGGAGAGCACGGGGGACCAGUGGUGGUACGCGUCGCCGAUCGACUGGGCGGCGGCGAACGGCCACUACGAGCUGGUGCGCGAGCUCAUCCUCCUCGACGCCAACCUCCUCAUCAAGCUCACCUCGCUCCGCCGCAUCCGCCGCCUCGAGACCGUCUGGGACGACGACGACGGCGGCGCGCGCUUCGCCGGCGUCGCCAAAUGCCGCGCGGCCGUCGCGCGCAGCCUCUUCCACGAAUGCGAGGGCAAGAGCCAGAAGAAUUCCCUGAUCAGGGCAGGCUACGGCGGGUGGCUCCUCUACACCGCGGCUUCGGCCGGGGACGUCGGGUUCGCCCGCCGGCUGCUCGACAAAAAUCCCCUGCUGGUUUUCGGGGAAGGGGAGUACGGCAUUACCGAUAUAUUCUACGCGGCCGCGAGGGGGAAGAAUUCCGAACUUUUCAGGCUCCUGCUCGAAUUCGCCGUCUCGCCGCGGUGCUCGACGGCGGACGACGGAUCGGGCGGCAGCGCCGGUGAUUCGGAUUUCAGGCGGGAGGUGGUGAACAGGGCAGCGCACGCGGCGGCUAGAGGGGGAAGUCUGGAGGUGCUGAGAGAGCUACUUGAGAAAUGUCCGGACGUCUUGGAGUUCAGGGAUGUUCAGGGAUGUACCGUCUUGCAUGCCGCCUCCGGCUGCGGCCAGACUGAGGUGAGAUGGCAUAUUACGAUUGUUGUUUUUCAUGAUACAGAAGCAUCGCCUCUGAACUCACAAUAGACAUGGUGAAUUUUAGAUGUCUUAGUUUCUUAUUAAAGUACAUAAUUUGUGUGAAAUAUGACUUCUUAUUAGAUGCAAUGUGUUCUCUGCCAACUUAAACUUUUAGAGAAUAAUUUUUAUUUCACAUUAUUUAACAUAGUAUCAGAACAUAAAGUUCUGAAUUCGAGUCACGCUAGACUGCUAGCAAUAUUAAUUUCUUCCUAUUUAAUUCAAGUCCACAUCACGGACCUAGCGAAAGAUCACCGUUCUCUACCCACUUAAACUUUUAGAGAAUAACGGUUGUUUCGUAUUAUUUAACACACGGUCGCUUUGUUCCUUCUAAACUCUCAUGAUCUACUAGUUCUACUGAAUCUAAAGGAACUAGCAAGUUGGUUUACUUUUAGGUCUCAUUAUAUUGAUCACUUGUUCUUGACCUUUUAAAUGACCAAAUCAUAAUUAAAUGUCAUGUAGAAGGAGCAUAAAAAGCUCCAGGAUUCAGAUUUACAGAUCGGAUAUUUGAUGGUAGUAAUUACUUGGAAGUCCGAUAUUAUAAUACAACUCUAUUUAAAGAACAUGUGCGGCCACCUUCAUGCUCAGUAACUGCAUAGAGAUAUACAGGAUCGAACAUACAAUGUCCUAUAACUAUUGUUUCCGAUUCAAACAUACUGUGCAGGUUGUCAAGUAUCUAGUGGCUUCUUUUGACAUGAUAAACGCUAGAGACAAUCAGGGCAACACAGCGCUACAUGUAGCAUCCUUUCGCGGACACUUAUCAGUUGUCGAGGCCUUAAUUGCGGCGUCUCCCUCAUUGUUACUGUUGAAAAAUGAUGCCGGGGAUACUUUUCUUCAUAUGGCAGCGGCCGGCUUUAGAACCCCUGGGUUUCGGAGGCUCGACCGCCAAAUGGAACUCAUGAAGCAACUCAUCUGUGGAAAAUUUAUCGAUUUAAACGAAAUUAUCAAUAUCAAGAAUCACGAGGGGAGGACCAUCUUUCACGUGGCUGUGAUUGAUAAUUUACACCCGAACCUCGUCGAACUCUUAAUGAGCAUCCGAUCGAUUGACCUCAAUGUUCGCGAUAAUGAUGGAAUGACCCCAUUAGAUCUGCUUAGACAACACCCUCGGUCGGCAUCAUCUGAGAUACUGAUCAAGCAGUUGAUCUCUGCGGGCGGAAUCUCAAAUUUCAGGAACCAAAUUGCGAAAUCGGCCAUCGCUUCGCAACUAAGGAUGCAAGGAAGUGGGAACAGUCCUGGUACUUCUUUUAAGAUUUCAGAUGCAGAGAUUAUUUUCUACACGGGUAUAGUCGAGAAAAUGGAAACAAGUGGAAGGCCUAGUUCGUGCUCAAGUACUACUAACAAGAGUGAACUUGCCCAUCUUAGCACAAAUGGCGAAGGACAUAAGAUUUUGGAAAAAGGUGAGAAUUCGGUAAAUAAAGCAGCGAAUCGACUGAAGAUUCUGCUAAGGUGGCCUCAUCGAAAGGAAACGAAAAUUGGGGCGCCAAAAAAACCGGGAGAUAAUGACUCGUUGGAUUCAUUGAAGAGAUUUAGCCAAAGUGUGGAUAAUAACACCCCUACUCCCUUACGACAGCGUUUCUCGAAGCCAACUUCACUUCUCAACAAUAAAAGAACUCUCGCAGUUCGAAAUUCAAUGCUAAGUAGUCCGUCCACGAAAAAGAAGUACACUGCGGGACUAAUGCACGGUGUGAUUCAAGCCAUGCCCCAUCUGGCUAACACUCCGCGAGCAUCAUCUAACUCUUUCUCGAGGGCGUCGAUGUCUUCUCCACCCUCAGUUAAGAGUAAAGGCAUUUGCUUGGAUAGUGAAACAACUGGCGACGUCGCCUCUUGUUCGAAUUCGGCAGUAAAUAGUAAUAACAUGAUGGAUAACUCAAUGAAUAAAUCUGGUUUUACGAAUAGCGGAGUCAAGAAACACUACUUAUGUUUUGGGUCACGAGGAUUAGCCGUCGAGGAGGGUUCAUCUACUGGGCAACGAAUCAUUCAGACGUUCAAGCGGUCGCUUCUCUCAGUGGCCUAAUACACCAACUUGUGAAGGAACCAGACAUUGAAUUAUCGUGCGUAGUUAACAUGGUCAAUAGUCUACUUAGGUAGACCUUAUCUGGGUAUGUCAUUAUUAGCGUCGUAUGUUAAUUUUCCGAGUGUUUGUUGGAGGUUUGCGUGUAGGUUGUGUGUAUGAUGUAAAUGUGCUAAUACAAAAAAAAGGUUGCGGAUUCUGUUUCUAGGCUUUUCUAGCUGAUAACUGUUCUUCUGAAAUUCUACCUUGUACUUGGUGUAAUUUGUAUGGAAGAGCAUCUUGUAGUUUGUUAUGUUUGUCACCACAUGUUUUGCAGAUAUAAAAAUUGUAAUAAUAUUGUAAGUUUCCUUCCAAUUGGGGAAGUACUAAGGUGGAAAGGAAAAGCGAAAAUUGGAGCAUUUAGCCAUUUGGCUUCAUGAAACUAACAAUUGUUAAGCAGAAUCUUCGACGAAAUUUGAAAGCCUUCAUAGGGUUUGAAUUGUGAUCUGCAAUCAUACCAGAAAGGCGACAAAAACGGUGAGGGAAACAAACCCUUCAAUCCAAAAUCUGCCAUUUGUGCAUUAGCACAGAAAACAGAAGUGUCCCUUAUGACCGUAGAUUACUUCACUUUGACGUGGGCGCGCAUGCACAAAAGAAGAACAAGGACAUGAAGACGAUGAAAGGAAAACAAAACUCAAUACGCCAGCCAAUACGCCAGCCAAUAAGGUACCUUUCUCUAUUGAUCUUUCUCAUUUAAAAGCUCCACACUCAUUACAAGGGAAAAAAAGGAACCCAAAAAAAAAAAAACUACACCAAAAGUCGCCUUUGACAGUAUCCUAUACAAAUAGACAGAUGGAGACCCCAAUAAAAAAAAAGGAGAGAACUACCUCCAGUUUAACUUCAAGCUCUUUCUCGGAAAGACAUACACAAAACUAUUCCUCCCUGCUCACUUGCUAUCACUAAAAUCCGCAUCGAUCACAUCACCAUUGCCAGUCCCCUUGCUUGCGGAACCAGCAUCGGCCCCAGGGGCGGGACCUGUACCAGCCCCGGGUGUGGCUCCACCGGGCUGGUUGUAGAGGGACUGGCCAAGCUGCAUCACCUCCUGGUUGAGGGCAGCAAUGGCGUCCUUUAUGGCCUGGGUUGAUCCACCCGCGACAACGUCCUUGAGCUCCCUGAGCUUUGCCUCCACCUUCUCCUUCACUGCGGCGGGGACCUUCUCCCCGAGCUCCUUCAAUUGCUUCUCCGUCUGGUAGAUCAGAGACUCCGCCUGGUUCUUGGUGUCGAUGGCCUCUCGCUUCUCCUUGUCCUCCUUGGCGUACUUCUCCGCUUCCUUCACCAUUCUCUCCACCUGGACAUUAUUCCCAAAUUAGAUUACAUGUUAUUGUUAUUUAACAGUGCAAGAAAAGGAUGCAGACAAUAAAAUAAAUUCACUGUUAGUGAUCCUGCUAAGUGAAUGAAUCUAUUGAAUACCAGUGUAAAUAGGGGGGACAAAUGUGUGUGUGUGUGUGUGUGUGUGUGUGUGUGUGUGUGUGUGUAUUGGAUAAAUAACUAGCUACUUCAAUAAUCCAAGAAAACUAUAAAAGCAUGGGAACUAGAAUACUUUCUAAAACUACUUGCUACAGCACAAGCAGAAAAGAAAAAAAGAAAGAGAACUAGGACUACAUUUAAAAUCUAAACAAAUUUAAAGCAGUAACCAACCAACAACCCAAAAUGGUAUUCCCCGAUGGUUUGGACUACAAUCGCAAGAUAAAGGACAACCGUCUUCCUAAUAGCAUACCGUGCACAUAAUACAGCCUAACGGAAAAUGCUACACAAUUAAAAUUAUUUUCCAAAUUCUCAAACAAAUAUUGGUCCUAGGCACCUCCACACCUACUGAAUUAUAUCUACGAAAGAACGAGGACAUGCUGCAUAACUUAUUUAAAUGAAGAUAGCUUUCAAGUAAUAAUUCGGGUGACAAACCUCAUCACUGGGCAAGGUGCUGGCCCCUGUAAUUGUAAUGUCCUGCUUCUUUCCUGUUCCCUUGUCGAUAGCUGUAACAGAGAGUAUUCCAUUGGCAUCAAUAUCAAAUUUAACUUCAAUCUGAGGGACACCACGUGGGGCAGGAGGAAUGCCAUCAAGUCGGAAGCUUCCGAGUGAUUUGUUGUCCUUCACAAACUCUCUCUCGCCCUGAAGAACAUUGAUCUCGACACUUGUCUGCCCGUCAGCUGCAGUGGAGAAGACCUCCGAUUUGGAAGUGGGCAGUGUCGUAUUCCUCGGGAUAAUCUUCGUCAUCACUCCACCCAAUGUCUCAAGACCAAGAGAUAGUGGAGUGACAUCAAGAAGAACAAUGUCGCUCACCUCGCCACCCAAGACUCCAGCCUGGUAUCAGAAAAUAAACAAUCAGUAAAGACCCACUGAAGAACAGAAAGGUAACAACUGAAUAAAUACAUCCUCGCAGAACAAAAUAACAGUGAGAUCAUCAAUGCAGAUGCUUAAUUAUAAUUAUAGCUAACUUAAUAUCCUGAUUCAGCAGAGAUCCAGUAAGACACUCAUAUUGUUAUGUGGUACAUAAUAUGGAGUCUUGAGCUUCGAAUAGCAUUCCAAAUGCCAAUAUCUUACAGACGGAGAUAGCUUUUUGAUUUUCAUAUUACCGCUGCCACCUCGCUGUCACUCUCUCUUUUUUCUGAAUGAGAGACAGGGUCUAUCAAAAAUAGUAAUUUCCUCAUGCCAUAUUUGCUACGACCAGAACAUGUUAGAAAUUCUAUGUUUUAAGGGAACAAUUAGCUUUGUGCCCCUCCUGUCAUCAAACUUCAAUGAAUGACUCUAUUUGGAAAAGUAGAAUAUACAGCUAUCACUCGAUUAGACAGCUUUCAGUUUGUUUCCAUUUUCUAUCCCAUCUAUCCGCAAACAAAAAGUAUGAGCACAAAUGUUUCAUUAACUAACCUGAACUGCCGCACCAAGAGCGACAACCUCAUCAGGAUUGACAGUAACAUUGGGUUCCUUUCCGGUCAUCUUCCUCACAAGUUCCUGGACUGCUGGCAUGCGAGUUGAUCCACCCACGAGAAUUACCUCAUCUAUAUCCUUGAAUGACAGCUUUGCAUCUUUUAAGGCAUUCUCCACAGGAGUUUUAAGCCUAUUGGAGAUUGAAAAGCCAAUAUAAGACCGAAUUAUCUAAAUAGAAUGUCUGGUUAUGAAACACAUGGAGAUUUAGUUGGCAAAGACAAAUAAAUAACAAAAUAUAACAAUAUAAGUUAUCAAGUUUAAGCAAAAACCAAGCUUCGAUCAGAUAUUUAGGGCCUCUUUAAUUCCCAGACAAGUCAUCAGAGGAUAACUUUAUGCAACACGUAGAUUUUAUUUUUACGUUGAUACUUGAUUUAACCAUAAUCAACAUUUUUCUGAUAACGAGUUCCACCUACAAGGUUCCUUGUUCUAUUCAUGAAAGAAGACUUUAAGAGGCCAUGCGCUAUGCAUUGUAUCCACUUUUUCUUCAAGCACCCCAUGAACCAAUUAUGAAAUGCCCCUUUAGUAAAUAAAAUAGAUAACGAAACAGAUAAGCAGACAAGAUGUUCAUACACCCAAACAAGCCCUUAAGAAAUAUAGUAGUAUAUACACUCAUAUAUGCAAAUGAUUAAUCGAACAUAAACAAAUACAGUUAUAUGCUAAUACCAACCAAGAACUAAACCAAUAUUAGGAGCACAGCAUUUUUUGUGCUUCUAACUUCGUAACCAUCCAUUAAUUUUGAUAGGUGGUUAGGAUCAGAGAGAGGAGAAAUUAGAGAGAAAUUCAAAGAAGAAAAAUUGGGAAACCCAAUUUCUCCCCAAUUUCUCCUCUCUCACCCUAACUACCCAUCAAAACUGAUGGAUGGUUAGGAAGCUAGGAGCACAAGGGCUGCUGUGCUCCUAAUGGCACAUUAACCCUACUAUAUGGUUAGGAAGCUAGGAGCACAAGAGCUGCUGUGCUCCUAAUGGCACAUUAACCCUACUAUAUAUAUAUAUAGUUGAGCUAGAAUACUAUCGAUAGCAAAUCGGCUCUUUUGCCACCCAUUUGUUUUCGAUGAUGAAGCCUCCAAAUUGAUGAUCGGCACCGUUGAACUAGAAUAGCAUAGUUGAGCUAGAAUACUAUCUAUACCAUUUGAAGUAUUCAGAAAUCAAAUUUCAUACAUUUUCGAUAUUGUUCUCUUAUCCAUCGAGUGGACACAAAAUGAAUGGCUGAAAAUGAAUAUUCUCAAAAAAAUAAUGAUAGGAGCCUUGUAAUCAAGAUCAAAAAUAUAGAUCUUGUUUUAAAUAGUUUAAAGAAUUUUCUAACAAAAAUUCAAUUGAUUUGGAUAUCUUUACACCGUUAAAGGAGAAAACACCUCAUAUCGAUCAUUAAAAUUACAAAUUUUGAAACCCUUUGAUCAUUAAGCAAAUGAUGUCGAAAAGAUUUGAAAUUUGAUUUCUAAACACUUCAAGUGAUAUAGAUCAUGUUCAACGGUGCCGAUCGUCGAUUUGGAGGCUCCAUCAUCGAAAACAAAUGGGUGGCAAAAGAGCUCGUUUGCUAUUGAUAGUAUUCUAGCUCAACUAUAUAUAUAUAUAUAUAUAUAUAUNAUAUAUAUAUAAAAUUAAACAAGCUUAUACUACUUUUUUUUUUUUGGCAUACAAUGGUGUAACCAAAGAUUAGUGCACACCUGUCAAAAAGGUCUGAGCAUAAUUCUUCAAACUUAGCCCUAGUGAGAGUUGUUUCAAUAUGUUUGGGACCAUCAGCCGUUGCAGUGAUGAAAGGUAAGCUGCAAAAGACAAAAAAGAAUGGGUAAAAAAAGGGCAAAAGAUAAAAAGUAAACAGAAAAUAUUAAACAAAUUUACACCAAUGGAGAUCUAGAUACUAACCUGAUAUUUGUCUGAGUCAAAGUUGACAAUUCCAUUUUGGCCUUCUCUGCUGUCUCAGUGAGUCGCUGUAGAGCUUGUUUAUCUUUCAGAAGGUCAAUGCCCUCAUCUCUCUUAAAAUUGGAGGCAAGCCAGUCUACAAUUCUCUGCUCAAGAUUACGAUACAAAAUUGCAAGUUACAUCCUGAAAAGGCAGGCCAUUGACGCUUUGGCUUGUUCAAAGAAUGUCGUACAACAUUGGUUUAACAAUUCUACUACUAAUAUAAUUUAGAAAUCAUGAUAUGUCUGAUGAGUCCAAGGAACAUGAUUACAAAAUAUUGCUGAAGAAAUCGUAAAUGGUAUGCUAUAUCACAAAUGAAAAUAUGAAAGGAGCAGGUGCUUGAAACAAUUCAGAGAAGAUGGUUAACAAAGAACAAUUCAAGACAACAACAACAUUAGACAAUGCCUACCCAAUGUCUUCAGCAAUAAGGACAAUAGGAAAUAUACUCCUAUAAAGAUAUUCAAGGACCAGAAAUAUGAGCAUCAUGCAAGAUUUCACAAGCCAUACAGUUAUAAAACUGAAAUCAGGCCAUCACAAGAAGGGAAGUCUUUCUAAUGAAGCUUAGAAUCAAAAACAUGAUCUAAUAUUACCAACAUUCUAUGUUAAAAGGUUACUCCACUAUAAACAGGUAAAAGGAAUGGGUGACAGGCUCUAUUUUUACAUAUGUUUGUCUUUGAUAGUUUCUCCGAAUUAGGCCAUGUAUGUUAAAAACUUCAAGAAGCUAUUUUCCUGUGUAAACAUAUAUCGCCGUUUAAUCACAGAAAUGAGAAAUGUUCUGAUUAAUAGAAAACAACCAGCCAAUGCAUAGAAUAAUGGUUCAGUAAUAUUGUUCUCUUAAUUUUGUUAAGCACAAGUCAGUGAGCAACAGUAACUUUUGCUCACAUCGGUGCAUGCACUCGUGCAAUGUGAAAAUAGAGGGAAAGACUUGCAAUGGAAAGAACAUUUGCAUGAGGUAUACAUAUGAUGGAUGCAAAGAGCACCCUGGCAAGUGAUCCACGGAAGAUGCACAGAGCAUCUAUGAAAAAGUAAUUAGUCUAGAAAACCUUUUAAUUUGUAUCUUUGCGAAGAAGAGGCAACCAACCUUGUCAAAGUCAUCACCACCAAGAUGAGUGUCACCCGAUGUAGAAAGCACCUCAAACACACCAUCACCAACCUCCAGAACUGCAGCAUCAAUAGAUAUUAUUUUGAUAACUAACUAGACAGCUGAUUACGGAUAAAACAGAAGUCACCUAAACAAUAUAAACUGCACACAUCAGAUAAAGUUUAAUACUAUUCCUAAAAAUGUAUCUACAUAUUUUCCUACCAUGCUCCUAAUAAAAACCAAAUUUUUUACAUUCAUUUAUCUUUAUUUUUCUGAUUUUUCUUUCAUUUGUUAUUUGCUCCUGAUAUUUUGUUUUUCGAAGAAAGAAACAAGUUUUUUUACUUUCUUCUAGUUUUGUCGUAAGAAGCUUACAUUGUAAUAGGUGUAAAAUACUUUUAGACGUAAAUUUUUUUCACUCUCUUUUCUCUUUAAAAGAAAAGAUUUCUUGCUCAACGGAUGAUAUUUUAUUACUGGAUUUGUACUAGAUCCAUAAUUUGUCCAUAAAGUAUUUAAAAGUCAUAGAACUCAGGAACUAACGGAUAUAUAGUUUGAAACUUAUCUCUGUGAAGAUCUCUGCUAGUUAAUAUUUUUCUAUUAUGAGGGUGUAAUAUAUUGAUAACUACACUGUUUCUACAAAAUUUAUUUUAAAAGAAUAUUAUUGAAUUGUUUGCGAAUUAUUAGAAACUAUAGUAGACCAAGAAAGAAAAUGUUUGCUGGAUGGAAAAUGAAGAUAUUAGCAGGGUUUAAUGGAAAAGUAUUGACUGAACUUGAGGAAGCUUGAUAGUUUGCAGGGUUAUCAGAAAAUGAAACAUAAUUAGCUCGAUUAUAAAAUUAAAUCUGGGAGAACAAAAUCUUUUGUCCUUACAUUAUCCUGCAAACAACUCUUACCUUGCAAUAUAAUAACUAUCCUUGUAAUAACCCUUUUCCUUAUUAUAAUAAUCCUUGUUGUACGUCUAGUUCUCCUUAUACUUAUAUGUAAGAGUAUUUUGCAAUAAGAAAGUCUCCUAUUAUAUUGUAAGUCUUCUACUUUUGCAUAUCACUACAAUUUUGUAUCAUACAUAAAUAUUCUCAAGAAAUUAGCUAUCAUCUCAGAAAGCUCAUGCAUAGUACCCCAUCUAAGCUUGGUCUAUAUGCCGUUGAAUGCGUUUGAUUGGACCUAAAGCAAGGGGAAUAUCUAGUACGAAUGCAUAUUGAAAUUAUUGAAAAAGUUUGUGUAUAUGAUAAAGAUUGUGGUCAUUAUAUUCAUGCACCAUCUACUGCAACUAAUAAAAAUAGUACCAAUUUUGUUUAUAUUUAUGAUAUCCUGAAUAUAUUUUCAUUGGGCUAAUAUACCCAAAGAAAGAAAAUACUUAGGUUAUAAAAAAUUAGAGGAAGAAGCUAAUAUGAUCAUAGAAGAAGAUAUAGACAUAGUUAAUAAUGAGAAUCUUGAAGAAUUAAAAGAAUUAUUUGAAAUAAAACAAAACGAUUAUUUACUCCUCUCUCUUCACUUUCUCUCUUCUUACUCUCUCUUCACUUUCUCUCUCAUCCGUCUAUCCUUCCUUUCUCUAUCCUCCUGUUGUCCCUUCUCACUCUCUCUCUUCACU